rnacentral:rRNA from 1 species
ACACCCGGCCAGGGGAUUACGAGCCCAAUCUUAAAACCCUAAGGACUUGACGGGGUCCCACCCACCUARAGGAGCCUGUUYUAUAAUCGAUACCCCCCGAUACACCCCACCACUUCUAGCGUAUCAGUCUGUAUACCUCCGUCUUCAGCUCGCCGUGUGAACGCUUGCAGCGGGCAAAAAGAUUCAUCACCAAUACGUCAGGUCAAGGUGCAACUUACGAAGUGGGAAGCAAUGGGCUACAAUUUCUAUCCGUAGAACACACGAAAAACUGCGUGCAAUACAGUUUAUGAAGGUGGAUUUAGCAGUAAAAAGAAAAUAGAGAGUUCUUUUAAAUCCGGCCCUGGGACGCGU